rnacentral:rRNA from 1 species
CGGGUGCGGAACACGUACGCAACCUUCCUCAGAGACGGGGAAUAGCCUCUACGAAAGAGAGUAUUAACUACCCCAUAGUAUCUCGAAACUGCAUUGGUUUUGAGAUUAAAGCUUCGGCACUUUGAGAUGGGCGUGCGGCUGAUUAGGUAGUUGGUAGGGUAACGGCCUACCAAGCCAACGAUCAGUAGCUGAUGUGAGAACAUGAUCAGCCACACGGGCACUGAGACACGGGCCCGACUCCUACGGGAGGCAGCAGUGAGGAAUAUUGGUCAAUGGAGGAAACUCUGAACCAGCCAUGCCGCGUGAAGGAUGAAGGUCCUCUGGAUUGUAAACUUCUUUUAUAGAAGAAGAAACCCCAUUAUUCUUAAUGGGUUGACGGUACUCUAUGAAUAAGCACCGGCUAACUCCGUG